rnacentral:rRNA from 1 species
AGCAGCCGCGGUAAUUCCAGCUCCAAUAGCGUAUAUUAAAGUUGUUGCAGUUAAAAAAGCUCGUAGUUGAACUUCGGGGUUUACCCAUUGGUCAGGCUUAAUUGUCUGUACUGGUGAGAUAAAUCUCUACCUUCUGAGGAACUUUCAUGUCAUUAAUUUGGUGUGAUUGGAAAUCAGGACUGUUACUUUGAAAAAAUUAGAGUGUUUAAAGCAGGCUAACGUCUGAAUACAUUAGCAUGGAAUAAUGAAAUAGGACGGACUGAUUCUAUUUCGUUGGUUUCUAGGAUCACCGUAAUGAUUAAUAGGGAUAGUUGGGGGCAUUAGUAUUCAAUUGUCAGAGGUGAAAUUCUUGGAUUUAUUGAAGACUAACUACUGCGAAAGCAUUUGCCAAGGAUGUUUUCAUUAAUCAAGAACGAAAGUUAGGGGAUCGAAGACGAUCAGAUACCGUCGUAGUCUUAACCAUAAACUAUGCCGACUAGGGAUCGGACGAAGUUAAUUUUAUAAUGACGCGUUCGGCACC